rnacentral:rRNA from 1 species
GAUGAACGCUGGCGGCGUGCCUAAUACACGCAAGUCGAGCGAACGGACGAGAAGCUUGCUUCUCUGAUGUUAGCGGCGGACGGGUGAGUAACACGUGGAUAACCUACCUAUAAGACUGGGAUAACUUCGGGAAACCGUAGCUAAUACCGGAUAAUAUUUUGAACCGCAUGGUUCAAAAGUGAAAGACGGUCUUGCUGUCACUUAUAGAUGGAUCCGCGCUGCAUUAGCUAGUUGGUAAGGUAACGGCUUACCAAGGCAACGAUGCAUAGCCGACCUGAGAGGGUGAUCGGCCACACUGGAACUGAGACACGGUCCAGACUCCUACGGUAGGCAGCAGUAGGGAAUCUUCCGCAAUGGGCGAAAGCCUGACGGAGCAACGCCGCGUGAGUGAUGAAGGUCUUCGGAUCGUAAAACUCUGUUAUUAGGGAAGAACAUAUGUGUAAGUAACUGUGCACAUCUUGACGGUACCUAAUCAGAAAGCCACGGCUAACUACGUG